AUUUUUGCCUGUGUGCAUGCAUGGGCGCCACAUGAGCGCCUGAUGUCCACAGAGACCAGACGACGGCGUCAGAUCCGCUGGGUCUCAAGUUAUAGAUGGUUGUGAGCCCCCAUCUGGGCACUGGAAACCAACCCUGACUUCUCUGGAAGAGCAAACAGCAAGUAGUCUUCUCUCCAGUCCUCAACCUGGCUUUCUUUAGGAAGCACGAUUUGCGAAGAUCACUUGGUGCCCUGUGUGGGUCAGCUGGGAGGUUGCCGUGGAGACCAGAGGACUGUUCACCCUAUCACCAUUUUCGUCUGCGGAUGAGAAGGGAACUGGAAGCAUUUCCAGGCUCCCCCUGGGAUGAACGUUCUCUGCCAACAACAACAGAGACAAAAGGGCUGUUGAAGGGAUUGAGUCAGCUUCCGGGUCUUCUCGUGUAGCAACCAAGGUAGAUGUCGUCAGCUUCCCAUGAGCAGCUGCACCUAGGGGAGUGCCAGGCAGUGUGACACUUGCCUUCCCUGCCCCUGUGUGCUGGAGAGGGCGCUGCAGGCCCUGGUUCUGAUGUCAUGACGAGGCCAAUUUACCCAGUGUGGAAAAGGCCUUCCCAGUAGCUGGCCAGAAAGAUCAGAGCAGAGUGUAAAAUCACCAACACCAAGGAACACAGGAGUGGCUGCAGGUUUUUAUUUCUAAAAUGCAAAUCAUCCAAAUCCUGGCUCCUCGCUUUACAUCCUUCACUGUCUCUCAUCAGGAAGGACCAAGCGAAACAUGAGAUGCUCCAUGCUUCUCUCCCCAUGUCCCUCUCUGCCCCAUCUCAACCUCAUUCCCUAAGUAAAUACUCUGCACUAGGAAGGAUCAAACACUCACGCUUUACUUCCCACAAGCUGUUUUCUGCUUGGUAUUCUUCUCCAAGCCUGGCACCCCCUGGACUCAGGUUCAGCCCAGGAGUCCAAGGUCAAGUAUCUUGACCCCCAGAAAUCUCUCCAUCUCAACUUCCUUACCUCCCUCUUCUGGAAGGCCUCGAACCACAUCUAUGCUGGCACUUUUCGCAAUUUUAGGGGGUAGGGAUGAUUUGUGUGUCUCUGUCCACAGCCCCAUAUCUGCAGAACCAUGCAAGGGGAGGGAGGGGCAUUUUCAAAGAAAUUGCUGAGGGACUUGAGAACCUGAGAACAGAGGUAACAGAGAAGGAUGUAAUUGUCAAUGUGAUACUAAAGAGUGAGUUAAUGGAGCUGGGGAGAUGGCUCAGUGGUUAAGAACACUGGCUGCUUUCCCAGAGGACCUGAGUUCAAUUCCCAGCACCUAUAAGGCAGCUUGAAACUAACUGUAACUCCAGUCCCAGGGAUCUAAUGCUCCCUUCUGGUCUCCCUGGGGACCAGGCAUGCACGUGGUUCACAGACAUACAUGCAUAUCAAACACCUACACAAACGAAAUGAAUUAAUUUUUUAAUAAUUUAUUAUUUAUUUUACAUCUCAGUCGCAGUUUCCUCUCUUCCCAGUCCCCCAUCCAUUCACCCCUCUGUCCCAACCCCUGCAUCCAGUCCUCCUCCAUUUCUGUUCAGAAAAGGGCAAGCCUCCCAUGGAUAUCAACAAAGCAUGGCAUAUCAAGUUGCAGUAAGACUAAGCACCUCUCCAUGUAUUAAGGCUGGGCAAGGUGACCCAGUAUGAAGAAAAAGAAAUUAGUGUUUUAAGUGAAUGAAAGCAGCACACCCCUUGUUCCAUGGGGUGGAGCCGUUACAGACAUUGACUGUCCAUCAGUCCUUCCCUCAUCUGCCCUAAGAUGAAAGAU